AUGCAAUAAAAACUCCUAGCCUGUGUGUCUAAGUUUGUGAUUACAAAUAUGAUGCUCUGGCCGUGACCGAUGAGUCACCAGGGUGCAUGAUAGAAAUGUCGGCAUCUCCCGUAUUUGGAAAGGUGUAAUAUGCAACAAC
rfam:Moellerella wisconsensis ATCC 35017 Sequence00026, whole genome shotgun sequence.